GCUUUCAGUGCGCAGCUUACCACACUCGGCUCUCUGCCUUGGAUAUACUUCCAGUGAAUAAUGGUAUUGUUUGAAUGUGUGAGUGUUUGCGCUUAAUUUUGAGAUACUCGUUUGUCUACUCUCCUUUGACGCUGCAGCAGUGUUGCUGCUGUUGUUGCUAUUGCCGUUGUAUGGGGAAAAACUUUAAAAUAUUUGCCUGAGAUUUAUUUAGUUUGCAACUUUCAUAGAAAACGGUAGUCUCGCCGAUAUUCCUCGUCCGUCAACUUCUAAUGUGGAUACACACUGGCCUCUCGCUAAACAUCUUUGGGAAGAAGUAGAAGAAAAUUCCAAGUCAUCGGUACGUCGCGUUCCGUUUUUUUUGUUUUUCUUUCGAAACAAAACGUUCGAAUGGCUACGUGUGUUCGGUCGAUUUGAUUACAAAUUCCGAAAAUUUUUCUAACAGCUGAAAAAAAGACGUUAGUGCUAUAAUAAAUCAAGUCUAAAUAAAGGAAACAGACAAUAACCUAAAAAUAUACAAAAAAUAAACGAGGGCAAAUAACCAACUCUGUGAAUACGAAAAAUUAUUUAUCUAGAAAAAGUGGAAGUGAGAAAAAAACGAAAAUGUACAAAAGAAAGGCUUUAAUGGAAAUUAAUUAACAAUUAAGGGAAAUAAACUAAAAAAAAAC
rnacentral:sRNA from 1 species